rnacentral:rRNA from 1 species
UGAGGAAUAUUGGUCAAUGGGCGAGAGCCUGAACCAGCCAAGUAGCGUGCAGGACGACGGCCCUAUGGGUUGUAAACUGCUUUUAUGUGGGGAUAAAGUGCGUGACGUGUCAUGCAUUGCAGGUACCAUAUGAAUAAGGACCGGCUAAUUCCGUGCCAGCAGCCGCGGUAAUACGGAAGGUUCGGGCGUUAUCCGGAUUUAUUGGGUUUAAAGGGAGCGUAGGCCGUUUGGUAAGCGUGUUGUGAAAUGUAGGAGCUCAACUUCUAGAUUGCAGCGCGAACUGUCAGACUUGAGUGCGCACAACGUAGGCGGAAUUCAUGGUGUAGCGGUGAAAUGCUUAGAUAUCAUGAAGAACUCCGAUUGCGAAGGCAGCUUACGGGAGCGCAACUGACGCUGAAGCUCGAAGGUGCGGGUAUCGAACAGG